ACGAACGCUGGCGGCGUGCUUAACUCCUGCAAGUCGAACGGAAAGGCCCUGCUUUUGUGGGGUGCUCGAGUGGCGAACGGGUGAGUAACACGUGAGUAACCUGCCCUUGACUUUGGGAUAACUUCAGGAAACUGGGGCUAAUACCGGAUAGGAGCUCCUGCUGCAUGGUGGGGGUUGGAAAGUUUCGGCGGUUGGGGAUGGACUCGCGGCUUAUCAGCUUGUUGGUGGGGUAGUGGCUUACCAAGGCUUUGACGGGUAGCCGGCCUGAGAGGGUGACCGGCCACAUUGGGACUGAGAUACGGCCCAGACUCCUACGGGAGGCAGCAGUGGGGAAUAUUGCACAAUGGGCGGAAGCCUGAUGCAGCAACGCCGCGUGCGGGAUGACGGCCUUCGGGUUGUAAACCGCUUUCGCCUGUGACGAAGCGUGAGUGACGGUAAUGGGUAAAGAAGCACCGGCUAACUACGUG
rnacentral:rRNA from 1 species